rnacentral:lncRNA from 1 species
CUCAUCCUGUGGCUGCGCAAGGUUAUGGCAUGAAACCUGGAGUGUCAGUCUGUACAAAGCAGCAGCCUGAUUUUAGAAGUUGAAGCAUUCGUCGAUCUCUCUUGCUGAAAUGGACCUUCAGAACGGUACUACCACAUGGUUUGGAUUUCAUGGCUGAUGUUUACAGAAUGGCUUUAGUGAUGAUCAUUGGAAAUGCACAGUGCAUCUUCUCCAUCAGUUGAUUAGCCAUACAUCUGAG